rnacentral:rRNA from 1 species
UACGGGAGGCAGCAGUAGGGAAUCUUCGGCAAUGGGGGCAACCCUGACCGAGCAACGCCGCGUGAGUGAAGAAGGUUUCGGAUCGUAGCUCUGUUGUAAGAGAAGAACGUGUGUGAGAGUGGAAAGUUCACACAGUGACGGUAACUUACCAGAAAGGGACGGCUAACUACGUGCCAGCAGCCGCGGUAAUACGUAGGUCCCGAGCGUUGUCCGGAUU